AACGAACGCUGGCGGCAUGCCUAACACAUGCAAGUCGAACGAACCCUUCGGGGUUAGUGGCGCACGGGUGCGUAACGCGUGGGAAUCUGCCCUUUGCUUCGGAAUAACAGUUAGAAAUGACUGCUAAUACCGGAUGAUGUCUUCGGACCAAAGAUUUAGCGGCAAGGGAUGAGCCCGCGUAGGAUUAGGUAGUUGGUGGGGUAAAGGCCUACCAAGCCGAAGAUCCUUAGCUGGUCGGAGAGGAUGAUCAGCCACACUGGGACUGAGACACGGCCCACACUCCUACGGGAUGCAGCAGUGGGGAAUAUUGGACAAUGGGCGCAAGCCUGAUCCAGCAAUGCCGCGUGAGUGAUGAAGGCCUUCGGGUCGUAAAGCUCUUUUACCAGGGAUGAUAAUGACAGUACCUGGAGAAUAAGCUCCGGCUAACUCCGUGCCAGCAGCCGCCGUAACAC
rnacentral:rRNA from 1 species